GUGUGUGUGAUGGCUUGGCAGUGUACUAUUAGUUAGCUGUUGUACCUAUUCCAGCAACUAAAUACACUUCCAUAUCAUUGCAUGGCCA
rnacentral:pre_miRNA from 1 species